GAUGAACGCUGGCGGCGUGCCUAAUACAUGCCAGUCGAGCGAACAGACGAGGAGCUUGCUCCUCUGACGUUAGCGGCGGACGGGUGAGUAACACGUGGAUAACCUACCUAUAAGACUGGGAUAACUUCGGGAAACCGGAGCUAAUACCGGAUAAUAUAUUGAACCGCAUGGUUCAAUAGUGAAAGACGGUUUUGCUGUCACUUAUAGAUGGAUCCGCGCCGCAUUAGCUAGUUGGUAAGGUAACGGCUUACCAAGGCAACGAUGCGUAGCCGACCUGAGAGGGUGAUCGGCCACACUGGAACGGAGACACGGUCCAGACUCCUACGGGAGGCAGCAGUAGGGAAUCUUCCGCAGUGGGCGAAAGCUUGACGGAGCAACGCCGCGUGAGUGAUGAAGGUCUUCGGACCGUAAAACUCUGUUAUUAGGGAAGAACAAAUGUGUAAGUAACUAUGCACGUCUUGACGGUACCUAAUCAGAAAGCCACGGCUAACUACGUG
rnacentral:rRNA from 1 species